GGGUUGUGAGGUUAAGCGACUAAGCGUACACGGUGGAUGCCCUGGCAGUCAGAGGCGAUGAAGGGCGUGCUAAUCUGCGAUAAGCGCCGGUAAGGUGAUAUGAACCGUUAUAACCGGCGAUACCCGAAUGGGGAAACCCAGUGUGAUUCGUCACACUAUCAUUAACUGAAUCCAUAGGUUAAUGAGGCGAACCGGGGGAACUGAAACAUCUAAGUACCCCGAGGAAAAGAAAUCAACCGAGAUUCCCCCAGUAGCGGCGAGCGAACGGGGAGGAGCCCAGAGCCUGAAUCAGCAUGUGUGUUAGUGGAAGCGUCUGGAAAGGCGCGCGAUACAGGGUGACAGCCCCGUACACAAAAGCGCAUGUGCUGUGAGCUCGAUGAGUAGGGCGGGACACGUGGUAUCCUGUCUGAAUAUGGGGGGACCAUCCUCCAAGGCUAAAUACUCCUGACUGACCGAUAGUGAACCAGUACCGUGAGGGAAAGGCGAAAAGAACCCCGGCGAGGGGAGUGAAAAAGAGCCUGAAACCGUGUACGUACAAGCAGUGGGAGCACCCUUCGGGGUGUGACUGCGUACCUUUUGUAUAAUGGGUCAGCGACUUAUAUUCUGUAGCAAGGUUAACCGUAUAGGGGAGCCGGAGGGAAACCGAGUCUUAACCGGGCGUUAAGUUGCAGGGUAUAGACCCGAAACCCGGUGAUCUAGCCAUGGGCAGGUUGAAGGUUGGGUAACACUAACUGGAGGACCGAACCGACUAAUGUUGAAAAAUUAGCGGAUGACCUGUGGCUGGGGGUGAAAGGCCAAUCAAACCGGGAGAUAGCUGGUUCUCCCCGAAAGCUAUUUAGGUAGCGCCUCGUGAAUUCAUCUCCGGGGGUAGAGCACUGUUUCGGCUAGGGGGCCAUCCCGGCUUACCAACCCGAUGCAAACUGCGAAUACCGGAGAAUGUUAUCACGGGAGACACACGGCGGGUGCUAACGUCCGUCGUGAAGAGGGAAACAACCCAGACCGCCAGCUAAGGUCCCAAAGUCAUGGUUAAGUGGGAAACGAUGUGGGAAGGCCCAGACAGCCGGGAUGUUGGCUUAGAAGCAGCCAUCAUUUAAAGAAAGCGUAAUAGCUCACUGGUCGAGUCGGCCUGCGCGGAAGAUGUAACGGGGCUAAACCAUGCACCGAAGCUGCGGCAGCGAACGUAUCACCCAAGACAACUUUACGGAGUUGACGAUUGACGGAGCGAAGCGACGUCAAAGCGUUCAUUAAAGUCGAGUUGGCUUAGGGAUACGUUCGUUGGGUAGGGGAGCGUUCUGUAAGCCUGUGAAGGUGUGUCGUGAGGCAUGCUGGAGGUAUCAGAAGUGCGAAUGCUGACAUAAGUAACGAUAAAGCGGGUGAAAAGCCCGCUCGCCGGAAGACCAAGGGUUCCUGUCCAACGUUAAUCGGGGCAGGGUGAGUCGACCCCUAAGGCGAGGCCGAAAGGCGUAGUCGAUGGGAAACGGGUUAAUAUUCCCGUACUUGGUGUUACUGCGAAGGGGGGACGGAGAAGGCUAUGUUGGCCGGGCGACGGUUGUCCCGGUUUAAGCGUGUAGGUGUGUGUUCCGGGUAAAUCCGGUUCACUUUAACACUGAGGCGUGACGACGAGGCACUACGGUGCUGAAGCAACAAAUGCCCUGCUUCCGGGAAAAGCCUCUAAGCAUCAGGUAACAUCAAAUCGUACCCCAAACCGACACAGGUGGUCAGGUAGAGAAUACCAAGGCGCUUGAGAGAACUCGGGUGAAGGAACUAGGCAAAAUGGUGCCGUAACUUCGGGAGAAGGCACGCUGACACGUAGGUGAAGUGAUUUACUCAUGGAGCUGAAGUCAGUCGAAGAUACCAGCUGGCUGCAACUGUUUAUUAAAAACACAGCACUGUGCAAACACGAAAGUGGACGUAUACGGUGUGACGCCUGCCCGGUGCCGGAAGGUUAAUUGAUGGGGUCAGCGCAAGCGAAGCUCCUGAUCGAAGCCCCGGUAAACGGCGGCCGUAACUAUAACGGUCCUAAGGUAGCGAAAUUCCUUGUCGGGUAAGUUCCGACCUGCACGAAUGGCGUAAUGAUGGCCAGGCUGUCUCCACCCGAGACUCAGUGAAAUUGAACUCGCUGUGAAGAUGCAGUGUACCCGCGGCAAGACGGAAAGACCCCGUGAACCUUUACUAUAGCUUGACACUGAACAUUGAGCCUUGAUGUGUAGGAUAGGUGGGAGGCUUUGAAGUGUGGACGCCAGUCUGCAUGGAGCCGACCUUGAAAUACCACCCUUUAAUGUUUGAUGUUCUAACGUGGACCCGUAAUCCGGGUUGCGGACAGUGUCUGGUGGGUAGUUUGACUGGGGCGGUCUCCUCCUAAAGAGUAACGGAGGAGCACGAAGGUUGGCUAAUCCUGGUCGGACAUCAGGAGGUUAGUGCAAUGGCAUAAGCCAGCUUGACUGCGAGCGUGACGGCGCGAGCAGGUGCGAAAGCAGGUCAUAGUGAUCCGGUGGUUCUGAAUGGAAGGGCCAUCGCUCAACGGAUAAAAGGUACUCCGGGGAUAACAGGCUGAUACCGCCCAAGAGUUCAUAUCGACGGCGGUGUUUGGCACCUCGAUGUCGGCUCAUCACAUCCUGGGGCUGAAGUAGGUCCCAAGGGUAUGGCUGUUCGCCAUUUAAAGUGGUACGCGAGCUGGGUUUAGAACGUCGUGAGACAGUUCGGUCCCUAUCUGCCGUGGGCGCUGGAGAACUGAGGGGGGCUGCUCCUAGUACGAGAGGACCGGAGUGGACGCAUCACUGGUGUUCGGGUUGUCAUGCCAAUGGCACUGCCCGGUAGCUAAAUGCGGAAGAGAUAAGUGCUGAAAGCAUCUAAGCACGAAACUUGCCCCGAGAUGAGUUCUCCCUGAGACUUAGAGUCUCCUGAAGGAACGUUGAAGACGACGACGUUGAUAGGCCGGGUGUGUAAGCGCAGCGAUGCGUUGAGCUAACCGGUACUAAUGAACCGUGAGGCUUAACCUUACAACGCCGAAG
rnacentral:rRNA from 1 species